rnacentral:rRNA from 1 species
CAUCGCCUCCUGCUUAUAAUAACAUAGGAGGUCCCGCCUGCCCUGUGACCAAAAGUUUAACGGCCGCGGUAUUUUAACCGUGCAAAGGUAGCGCAAUCAAUUGUCUUUUAAAUGGAGACCUGUAUGAAUGGCAUAACGAGGGUUUUACUGUCUCUUUUUUCUGGUCAAUGAAACUGAUCUGCCCGUGCAGAAGCGGGCAUAAUAACACAAGACGAGAAGACCCUAUGGAGCUUUAGACGCCCACCAACCGCGAAGAGCACCCCGACGACGGGCCACCAAAUAACGCGACCAUGGUAUAAACGUCUUCGGUUGGGGCGACCACGGGGGAACACAAAGCCCCCGAGAGGAUUGGGGAUCCAACCCUAAAACCAAGAGCCACAGCUCUAAGUCACAAAACAUUUGACCCAGAAUGAUCCGGCUCAUUGCCGAUCAACGGACCAAGUUACCCUAGGGAUAACAGCGCAAUCCUCUCCCAGAGUCCAUAUCGACGAGAGGGUUUACGACCUCGAUGUUGGAUCAGGACAUCCUAAUGGUGCAGCCGCUAUUAAGGGUUCGUUUGUUCAACGAUUAAAGUCCUACGUGAUCU